GUUGGGAAUGGUGGUGCACACCUGUAAUCCCAGCUACUCAGGAGGCUGCAGCAAGAGGAUCACAAGUUUGAGGCCAGCCUGGGCAAUUUAGUGAGAUCUUGCCUU
rnacentral:sRNA from 1 species